GGGUUGUGAGGUUAAGCGACUAAGCGUACACGGUGGAUGCCCUGGCAGUCAGAGGCGAUGAAGGGCGUGCUAAUCUGCGAUAAGCGCCGGUAAGGUGAUAUGAACCGUUAUAACCGGCGAUACCCGAAUGGGGAAACCCAGUGUGACUCGUCACACUAUCAUUAACUGAAUCCAUAGGUUAAUGAGGCGAACCGGGGGAACUGAAACAUCUAAGUACCCCGAGGAAAAGAAAUCAACCGAGAUUCCCCCAGUAGCGGCGAGCGAACGGGGAGGAGCCCAGAGCCUGAAUCAGCAUGUGUGUUAGUGGAAGCGUCUGGAAAGGCGCGCGAUACAGGGUGACAGCCCCGUACACAAAAGCGCAUGUGCUGUGAGCUCGAUGAGUAGGGCGGGACACGUGGUAUCCUGUCUGAAUAUGGGGGGACCAUCCUCCAAGGCUAAAUACUCCUGACUGACCGAUAGUGAACCAGUACCGUGAGGGAAAGGCGAAAAGAACCCCGGCGAGGGGAGUGAAAAAGAACCUGAAACCGUGUACGUACAAGCAGUGGGAGCACAGGUUUACCUGUGUGACUGCGUACCUUUUGUAUAAUGGGUCAGCGACUUAUAUUCUGUAGCAAGGUUAACCGUAUAGGGGAGCCGUAGGGAAACCGAGUCUUAACCGGGCGUUAAGUUGCAGGGUAUAGACCCGAAACCCGGUGAUCUAGCCAUGGGCAGGUUGAAGGUUGGGUAACACUAACUGGAGGACCGAACCGACUAAUGUUGAAAAAUUAGCGGAUGACCUGUGGCUGGGGGUGAAAGGCCAAUCAAACCGGGAGAUAGCUGGUUCUCCCCGAAAGCUAUUUAGGUAGCGCCUCGUGAAUUCAUCUCCGGGGGUAGAGCACUGUUUCGGCUAGGGGGCCAUCCCGGCUUACCAACCCGAUGCAAACUGCGAAUACCGGAGAAUGUUAUCACGGGAGACACACGGCGGGUGCUAACGUCCGUCGUGAAGAGGGAAACAACCCAGACCGCCAGCUAAGGUCCCAAAGUCAUGGUUAAGUGGGAAACGAUGUGGGAAGGCCCAGACAGCCAGGAUGUUGGCUUAGAAGCAGCCAUCAUUUAAAGAAAGCGUAAUAGCUCACUGGUCGAGUCGGCCUGCGCGGAAGAUGUAACGGGGCUAAACCAUG
rnacentral:rRNA from 1 species